UACGUAGGGGGCAAGCGUUGUCCGGAAUUAUUGGGCGUAAAGGGCUCGUAGGCGGUUUGUCGCGUCGGGAGUGAAAACGCCGUGCUUAACACGGCGCUUGCUUUCGAUACGGGCAGACUAGAGGUAUGCAGGGGAGAACGGAAUUCCUGGUGUAGCGGUGAAAUGCGCAGAUAUCAGAAGGAACACCGGUGGCGAAGGCGGGUCUCUGGGCAGUAACUGACGCUGAGGAGCGAAAGCGUGGGGAGCGAACAGG
rnacentral:rRNA from 1 species